rnacentral:rRNA from 1 species
CUGGCUCAGGAUGAACGCUAGCGACAGGCCUAACACAUGGCAAGUCGAGGGGUAUUGGGUCUUCGGACCCGAGAGACCGGCGCACGGGUGCGUAACGCGUAUGUAACCUGCCUUACACCGGGGGAUAGCCUUCCGAAAGGAGAUUAAUACCGCAUAAUAUUAUAUAGCCACCUGGUUGUAUAAUUAAAACUUCGGUGGUGUAAGAUGGACAUGCGUAUGAUUAGCUAGUUGGCGGGUAACGGCCCACCAAGGCGACGAUCAUUAGGGGUUCUGAGAGGAAGGUCCCCCACACUGGUACUGAGACACGGACCAGACUCCUACGGGAGGCAGCAGUGAGGAAUAUUGGUCAAUGGACGGAAGUCUGAACCAGCCAUGUCGCGUGCCAGGAUGACUGCCCUAUGGAUUGUAAACUGCUUUUGUAUGGGAAGAAAGUGGGGUACGUGUACCUCUUUGCCGGUACCAUACGAAUAAGGAUCGGCUAACUCCGUGCCAGCAGCUGC